UGCAAGUCGAGCGGAUGACAGGAGCUUGCUCCUGAAUUCAGCGGCGGACGGGUGAGUAAUGCCUAGGAAUCUGCCUGGUAGUGGGGGACAACGUUUCGAAAGGAACGCUAAUACCGCAUACGUCCUACGGGAGAAAGCAGGGGACCUUCGGGCCUUGCGCUAUCAGAUGAGCCUAGGUCGGAUUAGCUAGUUGGUGAGGUAAUGGCUCACCAAGGCGACGAUCCGUAACUGGUCUGAGAGGAUGAUCAGUCACACUGGAACUGAGACACGGUCCAGACUCCUACGGGAGGCAGCAGUGGGGAAUAUUGGACAAUGGGCGAAAGCCUGAUCCAGCCAUGCCGCGUGUGUGAAGAAGGUCUUCGGAUUGUAAAGCACUUUAAGUUGGGAGGAAGGGCAUUAACCUAAUACGUUAGUGUUUUGACGUUACCGACAGAAUAAGCACCGGCUAACUCUGUGCCAGCAGCCGCGGUAAUACAGAGGGUGCAAGCGUUAAUCGGAAUUACUGGGCGUAAAGCGCGCGUAGGUGGUUCGUUAAGUUGGAUGUGAAAGCCCCGGGCUCAACCUGGGAACUGCAUUCAAAACUGACGAGCUAGAGUAUGGUAGAGGGUGGUGGAAUUUCCUGUGUAGCGGUGAAAUGCGUAGAUAUAGGAAGGAACACCAGUGGCGAAGGCGACCACCUGGACUGAUACUGACACUGAGGUGCGAAAGCGUGGGGAGCAAACAGGAUUAGAUACCCUGGUAGUCCACGCCGUAAACGAUGUCAACUAGCCGUUGGGAGCCUUGAGCUCUUAGUGGCGCAGCUAACGCAUUAAGUUGACCGCCUGGGGAGUACGGCCGCAAGGUUAAAACUCAAAUGAAUUGACGGGG
rnacentral:rRNA from 1 species